AUUGAACGCUGGCGGCAGGCCUAACACAUGCAAGUCGAGCGGAUGAAGGGAGCUUGCUCCUGGAUUCAGCGGCGGACGGGUGAGUAAUGCCUAGGAAUCUGCCUGGUAGUGGGGGAUAACGUCCGGAAACGGGCGCUAAUACCGCAUACGUCCUGAGGGAGAAAGUGGGGGAUCUUCGGACCUCACGCUAUCAGAUGAGCCUAGGUCGGAUUAGCUAGUUGGUGGGGUAAAGGCCUACCAAGGCGACGAUCCGUAACUGGUCUGAGAGGAUGAUCAGUCACACUGGAACUGAGACACGGUCCAGACUCCUACAGGAGGCAGCAGUGGGGAAUAUUGGACAAUGGGCGAAAGCCUGAUCCAGCCAUGCCGCGUGUGUGAUGAAGGUCUUCGGAUUGUAAAGCACUUUAAGUUGGGAGGAAGGGCAGUAAGUUAAUACCUUGCUGUUUUGACGUUACCAACAGAAUAAGCACCGGCUAACUUCGU
rnacentral:rRNA from 1 species